AAGAAAGAAGAUAACAGUCUGAUCUUAAGUUAUCAAUUACCAAUCAAAGUAGUCCCUUUCUUCUUCUUUCCCUCCUUUCUCUCUUCCUCCCUUCCUCCCUCUUCCUCCCUUCACCUCCCUUUUGCCUCCCCCCCUUUCCUGGUGAUUGUCCUUCUUGUUUCUCUAAAUCAACUCAGGGGACAACCCUGGAAAAUAUUGACAAGGCAAAGCAUUCCAACUCAUUCUGAGCUCUGCAUAGAGAAGAGAGGGUUUUCACUUGGAGCCAAGAGUCCUCUGAUUCCUGGAACAAUGUUUUUCAUAGAUGUUGUCAGACCAAAUAUUCAUAAUCUCUAAACUACAUGGAAUUAAAAGCAUUCAAAAUAUAGAGUCCUAACAAUGGAGUUCUAAAUCAUGAAGGAAAACGAGGUACGUAACAUCUCUGUUGUCCUAUCUGCUACCCAAAUCAUUGCUUUCAAUGAGCCUAGAAAGGAGGAAUUUACCUCCUAAUACCUUUAUUCACUAAAGAAAGCAGUUACUAUAUUCACGUAUUAAUGAUCUAAAGAGCAUUUAAUGUAAAAGAAUUUUUUAAAAUUAAAUUUAAAUUUAA
rnacentral:lncRNA from 1 species